rnacentral:rRNA from 1 species
UUACUGGGCGUAAAGCGCGCGUAGGCGGUUUAGUAAGUUGUAUGUGAAAGCCCCGGGCUCAACCUGGGAACUGCAUACAAAACUACUAAACUAGAGUACGAGAGAGGAGAGUAGAAUUUGAAGUGUAGCGGUGAAAUGCGUAGAUAUUUCAAGGAAUACCAAUGGCGAAGGCAGCUCUCUGGCUCGACACUGACGCUGAGGUGCGAAAGCGUGGGUAGCAAACAGGAUUAGAUACCCUGGUAGUCCACGCCGUAAACGAUGAGGACUAGCCGUUGGGGGGAAUUAACCCUUCAGUGGCGCAGCUAACGCAUUAAGUUCUCCGCCUGGGGACUACGGCCGCAAGGCUAAAACUCAAAUGAAUUGACGGGGGCCCGCACAAGCGGUGGAGCAUGUGGUUUAAUUCGAUGCAACGCGAAGAACCUUACCUACCCUUGAAAUCCAGCGAAGUUUUCAGAGAUGAGAAUGUGCCUUCGGGAACGCUGUGACAGGUGUUGCAUGGCUGUCGUCAGCUCGUGUCGUGAGAUGUAUGGUUAAGUCCAGUAACGAGCGCAACCCUUACCCUUAUUUGCCAGCGGUUCGGCCGGGAACUAUAAGGGAACUGCCGGUAAUAAGCCGGAGGAAGGUGGGGACGACGUCAAGUCAUCAUGGCCCUUACAUGUAGGGCUACACACGUGCUACAAUGGGAGAUACAGACGGUUGCCAAAGCGCGAGCUGGAGCUAAUCCGAGAAAGUCUCUCGUAGUCCGAAUUGCAGUCUGGAACUCGACUGCAUGAAGCCGGAAUCGCUAGUAAUCGCGGAUCAGCAUGCCGCGGUGAAUACGUUCUCGGGUCUUGUACACACCGCCCGUCACACCAUGGAAGUGCAUUGCACCAGAAGUAGAUAGCUUAACCUUCGGGAUGGCGUUUACCACGGUGUGAUCCAUGACUGGGGUGAAGUCGUA